CUAGGGGUGGGGGGUCUCUCAGCCCGGAUUGUGAGAGGGUGCAGGCCAGGCUUGGGACCCCAUUGGUGCAUG
rfam:Myotis brandtii contig168519, whole genome shotgun sequence.